ensembl:misc_RNA Y_RNA Y RNA
GGCUGAUCCCAGUAGAGUGAGGUUUACAAUGAAUUGAUCACAACCCGUUACAGAUUUCUUUGUUCCUUCUCCACUCCCACUGCUUCACCUUACUAGUCUUUA